rnacentral:rRNA from 1 species
AGAGUUUGAUCCUGGCUCAGGAUGAACGCUGGCGGCGUGCCUAAUACAUGCAAGUCGAGCGGCAGCGCGGUCUUCGGACUGGCGGCGAGCGGCGGACGGCUGAGUAACGCGUAGGAACCUACCCCAAACUGAGGGAUAAGCCCGGGAAACCGGGUCUAAUACCGCAUGUGCUCCUCGGAGUAAAGCUUCGGCGGUUUGGG